rnacentral:rRNA from 1 species
AAGGAAAACGGGGGGGUGACUAUACAUGCAAGUCGAGCGAACAGAUAAGGAGCUUGCUCCUUUGACGUUAGCGGCGGACGGGUGAGUAACACGUGGGUAACCUACCUAUAAGACUGGAAUAACUCCGGGAAACCGGGGCUAAUGCCGGAUAACAUUUAGAACCGCAUGGUUCUAAAGUGAAAGAUGGUUUUGCUAUCACUUAUAGAUGGACCCGCGCCGUAUUAGCUAGUUGGUAAGGUAAUGGCUUACCAAGGCAACGAUACGUAGCCGACCUGAGAGGGUGAUCGGCCACACUGGAACUGAGACACGGUCCAGACUCCUACGGGAGGCAGCAGUAGGGAAUCUUCCGCAAUGGGCGAAAGCCUGACGGAGCAACGCCGCGUGAGUGAUGAAGGGUUUCGGCUCGUAAAACUCUGUUAUUAGGGAAGAACAAACGUGUAAGUAACUGUGCACGUCUUGACGGUACCUAAUCAGAAAGCCACGGCUAACUACGUGCCAGCAGCCGCGGUAAUACGUAGGUGGCAAGCGUUAUCCGGAAUUAUUGGGCGUAAAGCGCGCGUAGGCGGUUUCUUAAGUCUGAUGUGAAAGCCCACGGCUCAACCGUGGAGGGUCAUUGGAAACUGGGAGACUUGAGUGCAGAAGAGGAAAGUGGAAUUCCAUGUGUAGCGGUGAAAUGCGCAGAGAUAUGGAGGAACACCAGUGGCGAAGGCGACUUUCUGGUCUGUAACUGACGCUGAUGUGCGAAAGCGUGGGGAUCAAACAGGAUUAGACACCCUGAGUAGUCA